CUCACCCCCACCUGUGGGCAUCCUGUUUGGAUGGGGGGCUCCUUGUGAACCUAUUGAACUUUCAGAGGGUAGCCUUUUGUUUGCACCUCUGCCCUCUGGCCUUAGGAUCAUUACUCCAAGUCCGCUACCCCUUUCCUGGGGGUGGCACCUGGACUUCAUUGUGUGCAGGUGCUCCUGCUCUUUACCAAGAUGCUGGCUUGUUGCCGUCUGUGCUUCCACCCACCAGGAGAGUGUUUCAGCUGAUUCCUGUCUUAGCUUUACUGCAUCCAGGCCAAGGAACAGAGACUCAGAAGUUAAUCCUGCUUCAAAAUGAAUUUCUACAUCAACCUACUGAUAACUAACCUGACCAGUCUGAAUGACUCUGCAGCAGAGACUUGCCUGCCAGUAACUGUCCUUGAGGUUUGUUUAUAUUCAGUGGGAAGAAAGAUGGGACCCAGACUGCAGUUUAUUAUUAUCUUUAAAGAAGUAAAUGAGAGGGGUGACCAGUGCCCUGGAACAAGUCAUAAAGGAGCCUGUUAACCAAACCCUGCUAGUUAGGUCACCAGAGACCUGUCCUUGAAUAUUCAAUAAGAAGUCUGCUUUUAGGUAGGUGCAAUUGAUUGUGGUCAGGAAUUGGAAUCACGUGGUCCAGAGUCAGCUCAGCAGGGACUGUGGAUAAGUUAUAGGAAUCAGAUGUAGACUUGGCAUCUGCCUACUAAGCUUUGCCAAAGAAUGUAGUUAGAGCUUAAAGAAAUUCUACUUUUGACACAAGAACUGAAAAUGUGUUGACUCCUUUAAUGAAGAUUUCUAGAGCUAAUCAAUGGCUUUUUCCUGUAACACAUCCUUUUCAGGCACAGAAAAUCUUUAUUGCCACAGAAAGCAAGUGCACUCGUCCCACCUCAUCAACAGAUUUAAGAGUCACAGAAACGCAGACUUCACAUAAUAAAGUACAACACAGACUUGGGGAGAAAUGGUCCCUUGGACUAUAUUGGCUGUAAUACUGAGAAUUAAGGAGAUAGCCUCACUGGCUAGGAAGAGGAUUUGCAAUUAUUUUAUGUCUUCAAGACCAAGUUUCAGGCAAUCGGGUGGCUCAGCUGCUUAGCACCGCCUUCAGCCCAGGGCGUGAUCCUUGGGUCCCGGAAUCAAGUCCCACGUCAAGCUCCCUGCAUAGAGCCUGCUUCUCCCUCUGCCUGUGUCUCUGCCUCUCUCUCUCUCUCUGUGUGUCUCUCAUGAAUGAAUAAAUAAAAUCUUAAAAAAAAAAAAAAAGACCUAGUUUCACUAGGCCCUUCUCUGUGAAAUGAUUCCUAACAAUAUGCUCCUGUGGAUAGAGCCAUGUUUCCCUGUACCUUUCAAGUUACCUAGAAUAUCUUAAAUGCAAAAUAAGUGUUUGCUACAUCAGUGAAUAGGUUAAAUAAAUGAAAGAGGAAAGAUGUCAUCAAGAAAAUAAAAUUAAUCCAAUCAGGUAGGUUUCCUGUUAAUUUGAUUUUCUUGACUAUCACCAAUACAAACAUUUUAUUCUAGCCCUAAAUACCCAGAGAUAGAAUCAGAAGCUUUUGUUUAUAUUUGAACGAGCUAAUAAUUAUGUGCUUUGUUAGUAUAAACUUGACCUUAGAGGUCAACUUUCACAUUCCUUGUCAAUACCUUAGAUUUCGGCUCACCAAGAGUCUUGAGAUUUAGCCACAAGAAAGAAGGAAAGUGAAGGAAGAAAGCAAACAAAUAGAAAAUCUUUAAUUUAGAUCUUCAUUUAAAAUAAUCCUUUUCUCUAGGAAAUUGUGCAACAUCUCCAAAAAUCCAACACAUCUUUUGUUUCAGAAAAAAAUUAGUAACUGCUAAUGUAAAUACCUAGAUAUGAGUACGAUGAUAAAUAAGGUUGGAUAGUUUUCUCUGUGUCUGUCUUUUUUGAAUAUUUAUGGGGAAAUGAUGAUAUAUAGAUAAUAUAAUAUAAAUUGUGGAUUCAGUCCAUGCUUAUCCAUGGAGAGACAUACAAGUCAAUCUAAGACUUUCUUCUCUAGUGCCAGGGUUUGGUUCAAGCUUUCCCAGCAAGAAUGCCAAUGAAUUCUUAUUCAUUGAGUUAUUGAGAGUUAUUGUGGCUACAGUUUGCCCAGGGUUCAAAAAGAGAUGAUUGCUAAUGUGUCUGCCUUUACAUUUCAGCUUAUUUGAAAGUUUAUAAUGAUCUAAAUAUAAAGUGCUUUAUUUAUUUAUUCAUUCAUUCAUUCA